AGCGAACGCUGGCGGCAGGCUUAACACAUGCAAGUCGAGCGGGCACUUUCGGGUGUCAGCGGCGGACGGGUGAGUAACGCGUGGGAACGUGCCCUCUGGUUCGGAAUAACUCAGGGAAACUUGAGCUAAUACCGGAUACGCCCUUUUGGGGAAAGGCUUGCUGCCGGAGGAUCGGCCCGCGUCUGAUUAGCUAGUUGGUGAGGUAACGGCUCACCAAGGCGACGAUCAGUAGCUGGUCUGAGAGGAUGAUCAGCCACACUGGGACUGAGACACGGCCCAGACUCCUACGGGAGGCAGCAGUGGGGAAUAUUGGACAAUGGGCGCAAGCCUGAUCCAGCUAUGCCGCGUGAGUGAUGAAGGCCUUAGGGUUGUAAAGCUCUUUUAUCCGGGACGAUAAUGACGGUACCGGAGGAAUAAGCCCCGGCUAACUUCGUG
rnacentral:rRNA from 1 species